GUCUGGCUGACGAGUUCAAAAUAGGACGAAACACACGUCCUGGAU
rfam:Schistosoma mattheei strain Denwood, Zambia genome assembly, scaffold: SMTD_contig0021499